CUAUUAGUUUUGCAAUUGGAUUGAGAACAACGUACAAACCUUAUCGAUAAACAAUUGGAGGGCAAGUCUGGUGCCAGCAGCCGCGGUAAUUCCAGCUCCAAUAGCGUAUAUUAACGUUGUUGCAGUUAAAAAGCUCGUAGUUGAAGUGAAGUGAACAAAGAAGAGAAGAAUCUUCGGAUUCGGAUCUAAUGCGUUGACUCUUUCCAAAGUCAAUGUAUGGGUAUUCAUUUAUCUAUAUAUUGUGUUUGGUCGUUUACUGUGAGAAAAUUAGAGUGUUCAAAGCAGACGUUUGUUUGAAUACAUUAGCAUGGAAUAAUCAGAUAAGGCUUUCAUGUGUAUUUGAUUGGUUUGGAUAUGAAAGCAAGGUUAAUAGGGACAGUUGGGGGUAUUCAUAUUCAAUAGUCAGAGGUGAAAUUCUCGGAUUUAUGGAAGAU
rnacentral:rRNA from 1 species